rnacentral:rRNA from 1 species
GCAAGCGUUAAUCGGAAUUACUGGGCGUAAAGCGCACGCAGGCGGUUUGUUAAGUCAGAUGUGAAAUCCCCGGGCUCAACCUGGGAACUGCAUCUGAUACUGGCAAGCUUGAGUCUCGUAGAGGGGGUAGAAUUCCAGGUGUAGCGGUGAAAUGCGUAGAGAUCUGGAGGAAUACCGGUGGCGAAGGCGGCCCCCUGGACGAAGACUGACGCUCAGGUGCGAAAGCGUGGGGAGCAAACAGGAUUAGAU